AGCGAAGGGAGGGCGUUGUAAUCGAAGCUUGGGAGGAAGGUAGGAGGAAACAGCGAGAGCGUGCGCUUACGCACGCACGCGAGCCCAGGGCUGGAGCCCGCCGUGCUGGAGAGGAGCUACGGCGAGGGUACAGAACAGAACGUUAGGAAACAGAACAUUGAGGCAGUGGAAAAGGCUUGGAGAUGUUGACCUUGAGGCCAGAUGGAUGGCAGGCUUCCGUGGAAAAUCGUAUUGUCAAAUUUUUCUUCUCUUCCCACCUGCAAAUACUUUUUCAUCAGUGGAAUCAGAGCUAGGAGCUUGUCUGAUUGAAAGUGCUUGGAGAAAACUCUUCAGACAUGUAUGUCCCUCCCUCCACUUCACUGAUCAGGAUGCAACCGUUCAGGC
rnacentral:lncRNA from 1 species